rnacentral:rRNA from 1 species
UACGGGCGGGGCGAGCGUUGUUCGGAUUUAUUGGGCGUAAAGAGCGCGUAGGCGGCCAUUUAAGUCUGGUGUGAAAUCUCCACCGCUCAACGGGGAGCACGCACUGGAAACUGGAUGGCUUGAGGCCGUGAGAGGUAAGCGGAAUUCCAGGUGUAGCGGUGAAAUGCGUAGAUAUCUGGAGGAACACCGGUGGCGAAGGCGGCUUACUGGCACGGUUCUGACGCUGAGGCGCGAAAGCGUGGGGAGCGAACAGGAUUAGAUACCCUGGUAGUCCACGCUGUAAACGGUGCACACUAGGUGUGGGAGGAUCGACCCCUUCCGUGCCGCAGCUAACGCAUUAAGUGUGCCGCCUGGGGAGUACGGCCGCAAGGUUGAA